GACGAACCGUGCGAACGUUGUUCGGAUUCACUGGGCUUAAAGGGCGCGUAGGCGGGCUUGUAAGUCAGGGGUGAAAUCCUGGAGCUCAACUCCAGAACUGCCUUUGAUACUGAAGAUCUUGAGUUCGGGAGAGGUGAGUGGAACUGCGAGUGUAGAGGUGAAAUUCGUAGAUAUUCGCAAGAACACCAGUGGCGAAGGCAGCCCCCUGGUCAAGACUGACGCUCAUGCACGAAAGCGUGGGGAGCAAACGGG
rnacentral:rRNA from 1 species